rnacentral:lncRNA from 10 species
AAAGAUGCCUGAGGAAACCCAGCUGUUCAGCACAGAUGUUUUUUAGUUUUCCCGUUGCCCAGGCAUGCGAGUGAGUGAGCUUUCCAAAGACUUUAACCCCAGCCUUUGAGCUGCCAGAGCUGACAUGAAGUAGAACAGAGAUGAGCUGAGCUUUGCCCCACCUGCAGAUGUAUAUAAAGAAAUUGACACAACUAAUUAGAAGCCGGGUCCAAGAUUUUCAUUUAUAAAGUCUACUUCCAGCACUCACUCUUUGACCCCCUAUACUUCAUACUCCAGAGUGACUCCAAACAAAGACUAUGGAACUUCCCACAUACACCCCUUUUGGCUGAGCUGUAUGGCCAUAAGCGUAGAGACUUGCAGCUGUAUGUGGCCGUGAAUGAGAGACCCAGAGAUGGAAGCUUCACAGCAUUUGUGGCAGUAGCGGCAGAAAUGCAUCACACAUUUGAGUCCCUAGAUGGCCUUGUGGAGAAACGUCUACCUGCCACCCUGGACUAUUAGCUGAAAGAUAAGCGGUGGGUCCUGCUAUCAACUUGUAGUAAAUACCUUCCUUGUUAUGAUAAGGCAUCACACCCUGUUGCAGUCAAAUUCUUAACCACUGCAGUUCCAUCACAGACAUGAAAAAGAUGCAGGCAAGAUAUGGAGUGUCUUCAUGGGGGAGAUUCAGAAGCCAUGGAUGGUGUAGAAAGCACAAACUCUGGGCUAAGGCCAGGCCUAACAGGCUAAGUAGUGCAAUGAAAAUAAUCACACAAAUUGACUAGAUAAUACAACUGAAACAAGCAACUGUAGAAAUUCGCAGUAGGAAGGAAAUUUAGAUGUCAUUUAAUUUAUUAUUUCUUAUUUAUUUAUAACUGGAAGAAAUAUUCUUCAAACAAAACCUUAUGAGGAACAGAACCAUAGCUCCUGAAACUGUGUGAAAGCAAGAGAAAGAGAGUCUUUUGUCAAUAGUCUGUCCACACAUAUCCAGACCCAACCCAAAGUUACAACCUGACCUCCACGAUCACUUUCCCUCACAGGGACCGCACUAUGAGGAACACGCCAAAGUUGAGAAAGGGUAAGAUUCUUGCCCAACCUCAAGACCAGUGCUAUUCUCUUCACGCCAAGGCAGGAAGAUCACUGAAGCCCAGAAGUUCGAGGCUAAAAUGAGCUAUGAUUGUGCCAACGCACUUCAUCCUAGGCAACAUAGCAAAACCCUAUCUCUAAAAUAUAAACAAGUAAAAUAAAUUUAAAAAUAAUUGUGGCGUGUGGCAAUUAUUGAUAAUGCCUCAUAGCCCCAAAUUCAUCCCUGGUUGCCUUCCCUGUGAAAAUAAAUCUAGGCCCUUCACCUUUAUUUUUUUCUUUUUUGGCUAUCAUGAUGCUAAACUUAUCAGUAGAGGGCAAUACAAAGACAUUUCAAGAAGGCAGAGGCUUCCCUCCUGGUAGUGCACUUUUUCCCCACUGUCUAUUCCACGUGGUUUUCACCAUUGUCAAGGGCUUAGAGGGUACAGCUUUCACAGUGUGUUUUCUACAGUUCUUGACUCAGGAAACAAUGGCAUAGUGGAAGCCCCAGAAAAAUCUGACCUGUGCGCUAGCCCUGUUAACUGCUGCCCACAACCCUGAGUGAUAUGAAUGUAAGGGGUACUGUGGAGCUGAUAAUCAGCAAGCUUGUGGCAUGACCUCCAUCCUGUGUAGCCCAGAGCCACCCUACCCAAGCCACAAAUAGAAAAGCUCUGGGUUUUGAUGCUGACUCUCUAUGGUCCCACUUCUUAGCCUAAGAUCACCUGUGCCCUAGAGAGUUGUACCUACUUCGCCUGGUGACUGUGGACCAGCUCUGCAGGAAGCAAUUUACCAAAUGUCUCUGCGAUCCAGUGGUCAGCAAUUACACCUUCUUCAGUGUGGUCAUAGCCUCUUUCCAAAUUUGUCCUUCCUUAACUACUCUCCCUGUUUUCAUGUUUAUAGUUGUUCUCUUAUCAUUGUUUAAUAAUUUUUAUGUUAAAUUUCCCAUGUUUAAAUUACUAAGUCGAUAUUGUCUCUUGAUUGUACCCAGGCCAAUAAAUGGUACUAUAAAUAUUGUGUUUAUAUUUCAAUAUACAUUGUUUUAAGGUGACUCCCAUGGAGUUUAUAAGCAAGAUAAUGCUUGAGCAAAAUCUAGUACAUUGCAAUAACCUAGGUGACCACAUCAUUUCUCGUGCAAUAAUCAUUUUUAUGUCUCAUAAGAUAUAUGAAUAUAUUAUAAAUUAGAAACAGGAAUAAUUAAACAGAAAACAAUAGCAUAUGACAUGGCAAAGGCAAUAAAAUAAAUAUAUAGGCAAUAUAGGAGCAACUAUGAAAGACUAGGACUUGCAAUAUCAUAUAAAGGAAUUUAAGAACCGAAAUUGAGUAGUCAUUCUUGUUAACAGUGUAUUCAUUUUGUUUUCAUAAUCUUAUUAUCAUGCUGUAACUGUGCUAUAAAAGAGAUAUUGACAAAGACAUGCUUCAGUUAAGGCAGUUUACAUAUGAGCAAAAAAUUUUGGAAACAUUGGAAUUGUUAGUAUAA